AAAAACAUAACUAUAUGUUUCAUAUAUAGCAAUUUCUGCUCCAUGGAAAACUAAAUAGCCGCAGUACCUUGACUGUGCAAAGGUAGCAUAAUCAGUUGUCUUAUAAUUAAAGUCUAGGAUGAAAGAAAAAAUGAAGGAUUACUGUCUCUUUAGUAAAAGAUGAAGUUACUUAUCAAGUGAAAAUUCUUGAGUAUAUACAUUAGACGAGAAGACCCUGGAAAUUUGUUGUAAGCUCUAUAAGAUACAUUUUGUUGGGGCGACAAAGUAACAAUUUUUAAACUUACUUUUUGAAUGAGACAUUUAUAUAGUGUAUAAUAAAAUUACUCCAGGGAUAACAGCAUAAUAUCUUAAAGUUUGUGACCUCGAUGUUGGACUAGGAAAGGUAAUUAUUUAGAAGAAAAUUAACUACGCUCUGUUCGCGCGGUAAAUUCCUACUUGAU
rnacentral:rRNA from 1 species